AUACGGAGGGUGCGAGCGUUAAUCGGAAUUACUGGGCGUAAAGCGUACGUAGGCGGUUGGUUAAGUUAGAUGAGAAAGCCCCGGGCUUAACCUGGGAACUGCAUUUAAAACUGGCGAACUAGAGUUGAGUAGAGGGGAGUGGAAUUUCAGGUGUAGCGGUGAAAUGCGUAGAGAUCUGAAGGAACACCAGUGGCGAAGGCGACUCCCUGGACUAGAACUGACGCUGAGGUACGAAAGCGUGGGUAGCAAACAGGAUUAGAAACCCGAGUAGUCC
rnacentral:rRNA from 1 species